GGAGACGCCCUAAUUCGCAAUUCAAUUUUUAUCUCGUUUUGGGUUCCUCCGUGUUUCGAUGACCUCCAUCUUCAGAUCCGCGAGCCGCAUUCCUCUCGUCUCUAUCCGGUCGUUCGCGGUCCAAUCAAAGACUGUCGCUUCUCCAAUCCGCCGCUUGUCGUCGUUCUCUAGGGUUCCUGUGGAACUGGGUUGCUGGGGUGGUUCUUUCUUCCCUUUGCACAGUGCGGUGGCGGCGGCAAAAUUGACUUCGCAGCUGAGCUCGGCGUCUCGGAGCGCUCGGGCUCUUUCACAGGGUUUCGUCGGCCGCGCCUGUCCGGGACCCUAGUGAUGUUGUUUCUCCCAUCAGGUUAUCUGUAAGUUGACUAGUUGUGGAGCAAGUGCUGACUGGUAGAUGGCUUGAUUUGAUACAUCAAUGUGCCAUAUGAUGUUUUGACUAGUUGGUUUCAUUCUAAGCUGAAAUCCCACUAAUAAUCUCGGUUGUCAUGUGGUGCCCUCCAUAAUACCAGUCCCUCUGCAUGUGGCAGAUCAAACUAAAUGUGCCAGAGAUGGGUGUUGACAAAAUACUAUGUUUUGUGCCUCUCUCUUCUAUUAACUUGUAGGGCAGCUAUGGAGUAGAAAAUAAAAUUAUCCUCUUCUUAAA